rfam:Schistocephalus solidus strain NST_G2 genome assembly, scaffold: SSLN_scaffold0000076
GGCCUCGUAGCUCAGCUGGCUAGAGCGUUGGAUGUACUAAAGCCAUCCCCUUACUGGUGUGGGUUCGAAUCCCACCGAAGCCA